UGUGAUCUGUACCUGCCCUCUUCUGC
rnacentral:piRNA from 1 species